rnacentral:rRNA from 1 species
AGAGUUUGAUCAUGGCUCAGAUUGAACGCUGGCGGCAGGCCUAACACAUGCAAGUCGAGCGGUAGCACAGAGAGCUUGCUCUCGGGUGACGAGCGGCGGACGGGUGAGUAAUGUCUGGGAAACUGCCUGAUGGAGGGGGAUAACUACUGGAAACGGUAGCUAAUACCGCAUAACGUCGCAAGACCAAAGUGGGGGACCUUCGGGCCUCAUGCCAUCAGAUGUGCCCAGAUGGGAUUAGCUAGUAGGUGGGGUAACGGCUCACCUAGGCGACGAUCCCUAGCUGGUCUGAGAGGAUGACCAGCCACACUGGAACUGAGACACGGUCCAGACUCCUACGGGAGGCAGCAGUGGGGAAUAUUGCACAAUGGGCGCAAGCCUGAUGCAGCCAUGCCGCGUGUGUGAAGAAGGCCUUCGGGUUGUAAAGCACUUUCAGCGGGGAGGAAGGCGGUGAGGUUAAUAACCUCAGCGAUUGACGUUACCCGCAGAAGAAGCACCGGCUAACUCCGUGCCAGCAGCCGCGGUAAUACGGAGGGUGCAAGCGUUAAUCGGAAUUACUGGGCGUAAAGCGCACGCAGGCGGUCUGUCAAGUCGGAUGUGAAAUCCCCGGGCUCAACCUGGGAACUGCAUUCGAAACUGGCAGGCUAGAGUCUUGUAGAGGGGGGUAGAAUUCCAGGUGUAGCGGUGAAAUGCGUAGAGAUCUGGAGGAAUACCGGUGGCGAAGGCGGCCCCCUGGACAAAGACUGACGCUCAGGUGCGAAAGCGUGGGGAGCAAACAGGAUUAGAUACCCUGGUAGUCCACGCCGUAAACGAUGUCGAUUUGGAGGUUGUGCCCUUGAGGCGUGGCUUCCGGAGCUAACGCGUUAAAUCGACCGCCUGGGGAGUACGGCCGCAAGGUUAAAACUCAAAUGAAUUGACGGGGGCCCGCACAAGCGGUGGAGCAUGUGGUUUAAUUCGAUGCAACGCGAAGAACCUUACCUGGUCUUGACAUCCACAGAACUUUCCAGAGAUGGAUUGGUGCCUUCGGGAACUGUGAGACAGGUGCUGCAUGGCUGUCGUCAGCUCGUGUUGUGAAAUGUUGGGUUAAGUCCCGCAACGAGCGCAACCCUUAUCCUUUGUUGCCAGCGGUUAGGCCGGGAACUCAAAGGAGACUGCCAGUGAUAAACUGGAGGAAGGUGGGGAUGACGUCAAGUCAUCAUGGCCCUUACGACCAGGGCUACACACGUGCUACAAUGGCAUAUACAAAGAGAAGCGACCUCGCGAGAGCAAGCGGACCUCAUAAAGUAUGUCGUAGUCCGGAUUGGAGUCUGCAACUCGACUCCAUGAAGUCGGAAUCGCUAGUAAUCGUAGAUCAGAAUGCUACGGUGAAUACGUUCCCGGGCCUUGUACACACCGCCCGUCACACCAUGGGAGUGGGUUGCAAAAGAAGUAGGUAGCUUAACCUUCGGGAGGGCGCUUACCACUUUGUGAUUCAUGACUGGGGUGAAGUCGUAACAAGGUAACCGUAGGGGAACCUGCGGUUGGAUCACCU